UGGGUGGUGCUGCGCCCUUAGGAGGUGUAUGGUAGAGGAGCAGGACCUACAGCACAUGCGCGGAGUCCAGCCCCGGGCUGGCGGGCAACUGUCUCACCUGCUCACCUCGUGGCUUCGGCGGGCAGCUCCGGGACAUCGGGUCUUGGCGUCUUCACUCCCAGGAGAGCAGAUCCACCGCAUCAAGGGGAGCUGUGAAAACGGAAGGCAGAGCUGAGGAUGCCUGUGCCUGGGCCCUCCUACCGGGUGUCCGUCUCUGCGAGGGGGGAAGACGGGGGAGAGCGGCGCUGCCCCCACCACCUCCCGCGGGAAGGGGACGCUGCAGGUGCCCAUCACCCAGUGAGGGUGGCAUUAGCCUGGUGGCACCACCGAGCCGCCCCGCGACCCGCUGCUCCUGCCCCUGGCGAUCUGACGUUUCAGUUUCUUUCACUUAAAUUUCAAGGGCAGCAGUCACGUGUGGUUACCAGAGCGGACAGCCCAGAAGUAGAGCAUGUCAACCUCACAGACAGUUCCACGGGGCUGUUCUAGAGGGAGCAGGUCCGGGUCUGGGGACCAGGGAGACCCCGUGGAGAGGGGGGGACUCAGGAGCCUGCUCUGUCCAGCUCAGGCCUCUGACCCAUGUCCUCCUGAUGCCUCAUUCCUAGGAGACACAUGGACGCAUUCACAGGAUGGAAACAAUCCCGGCCCGUGGACAGAGCAUGUUUACAUUCUCAUCGGGGUCUCUGCAGCCUUUCUCCUUUGUCUCCUCCUCUUGGUCCUCCUCCUCCUCCAGCGCUGGCAUCAGAGGAAACGGGGUAGGUCUCAGGGACCGGGUGGGGUGACCUGGGCAGGCUGUUUGGGGUUCUGGGAAGAAGCCUUCUCAUCUCAACUCACACCUGACUCUCCUCAGGGCCCCCCAGAAACAAAGGCAAGGAGCCAGAGCCCCAGGAGAGGUGAGGACUCUGGGAAUGACCCCUAGCCCCCCAGCCCUCCGCCUCCAGGCAGCCCUCAGGGCUCACUGUUCUUUCUCUGCAGGCUCAGCCCAGCUGUUGACGUCCUAGAUGGGACACCAGGUACAGACAAGGGUGGGACAGGUCUGGGAGGGGAAGGGGGCAUUCACUGCCAUCCAGGA
rnacentral:lncRNA from 1 species